AUCUGGGGGGUGUUUGUUUGUCUGCGUUUGUUGGUUUGUGUGUGUAGCAUCCGGCGUGAGUGGUUCUGACUGUUGCCACGGAGUGAGUAGUACACGCUAAUUUGCUAGUAGCUUACCAUAGCGGCUAGCCGCUACUACCGGUGUAAUGGCGAGUGGGUCGGCGUUCAGUGUGGAGGAGUUUGUGGCGAAGCCUACGCUGAGUCAACUAGACAUCUGUAGGAAGGCUGAUUUAUUUGCGAUUGCUGACCGCUAUGACAUUAAGGUUACAACUUCUCUCCUUAAGAAGGAGUUGAAAGCUGCCGUGGUUGACGGAUUAGUGGAAGGGGGUGUGUGUGGUUUACCGGCGACUGUGCCCGAGUCCGCAGGGGAGGUGCGCUCCGAGGCUCGGGGGGCGGAAGCGACUCAGCGGCAGCGAGACAUUUUGAACAUUACCCCCGGUGUAAAACAUGGUAACAUGGACGAGAAGCAGUUUACGUUGCCGCGUUUUGAACCGUUGUCCGUGGAAACGACCCCUGGAUCGAGAAUAGAUGCGCGGAUAAAGCUGCGUUUAGCUCGUCUCCAGCUGGAGAACGAGGAACGGGAACGGAAGCGUGAGUUUCAGCUCAAGUUGAAGCGGAUGGAAUUGGACGCAGAGACCGCGGUCAAAAUGCGAAAGCUGGAACUACAGUCUAGCUCAGUUUCGUCUGGUGCGCGGUCGUCUUCGUCAUCUACAACAUUUGACGUGAGUAAAAACGUUUCUUUGGUCCCCGUCUUCCGGGAGUCCGAAGUUGAAUGUUAUCUCGGUGCGUUUGAGCGCAUUGCUGCUGCCCUGCACUGGCCGAAGGAUGUGUGGCCGAUACUUUUACAAUGCAAACUCACGGGUAAAGCUCCGGAAGCUUGCGCUUCUCUUUCUGUGGAGGAUGGCCUCUCUUAUGAAAAAGUAAAGAGCGCGAUACUGCAAGUAUAUGAGCUGGUGCCUGAGGCGUAUAGACAGCGUUUCCGCGGUCUGAGAAAAACAGCAAGCCAGACGUACGCUGACUUUGCCAGAGAGAAGGGGAUGCUGUUUGACAGGUGGUGCUCAUCUUGUAAGGCAGAUAACUUCAAUUCAGUACGUGAGUUAAUGUUGUUGGAGGAAUUUAAAAACCAAGUGCCGGAGCGAACUGUUUAUUUAAAUGAGCAGAAGGUAUCUACUUUGCAGCAAGCUGCUAUUCUUGCUGAUGAGUUUGCUCUUACCCACAGAAGCCCCUUUAUCAGACGUGAUUCCCCUACUCAACAUGAAACUGCUUUUAGGUCCAGUGACACGCGUGUUCCACGUUUUAGUACAUCAGUCUCUGCACCUAAGGCAGAUAAGCAAUGUUUUUUCUGUCAUAAAGCUGACCAUCUAAUUGCGGACUGCAAUGCGUGGAAACGUAAGCAGCAGGCGGCAAUUUCAAAGCCCAAGGGUGUGGGGCUGGUAAAAACAGUAACCGGUUGUUCACCGUCGCCCAGUCAAACAGUACCUGAUGAGUGUUUUAAACCUUUCAUUUUCCCUGCAUUUGUCUCGCUCACAGGAAAGGUGGAUGAUCAGCGUCCUGUCACAGUUUUGCGAGACACUGGUGGCUCCCAGUCAUUCAUUCUUUCCUCUGUACUGCCCUUGAGUACGGAGUCUGCCUGUGACACGAGCGCAAUUGUACGAGGUAUCGGGAUGAGAGAGGCCAACCAGGGGGAGCAGGAAAAAACUCCGGAGACUGCUGCCCCUCGUGAAACAACUACCUCCUUGGUUUGUGUGGAAUCACUGCCUGACGAUGGGUUAACUGUACUAGGAAGUGAUCAGCAGAGUGGUAGGCUGUCUAACACAGAGUUCUUCGCGAAAAUAGACACCCAUUUGAACUAUCUCCCUGUAGAUCAGCAACAAGAUAUAGUCUCUUUGAUGCGCUCCCAUCCGUCCCUGUUUAAUGAUGUACCAUCUAGCACCAACGUACUAAAACAUGACAUCGAUGUUGGUAGUGCGUCUCCCAUUAAACAGCAUGCGUACUGAUGUCCUUUAGCCAAAAGAGAGCUUAUGAAAAAGGAAGCUAGUUACCUAUUGGAAAACGGUUUAGCUGUACCUAGCUGUAGUCCUUGGAGUUCCCCUUGUUUGCUGGCUCCAAAAUCUGAUGGCACCCCACGCUUUUGUACCGACUAUCGGAAGGUUAACGCAGUUACAGUGCCAGACUCAUUUCCCUUGCCUCGCAUGGAGGACUGUAUUGAUAGUAUUGGGCCGGCCAUGUUUAUUACAAAGCUCGAUCUGCUGAAAGGGUACUGGCAGGUUCCAUUAACACCCAGAGCCUCUGAGAUUUCGGCCUUUGUAACCCCAGACCACUUCUUACAGUAUACCGUUAUGCCAUUUGGAGUGAGAAAUGCGCCUGCCACGUUUCAGCGUCUAAUGUGUCAAGUGCUAGGAAAUGUCAAGAACUGUGUCUACCUAGAUGAUGUCGUUGUGUACUCAGCCGAUUGGGCCAGUCACAUUACUAGCUUAACGGAAGUGUUUCAGAGACUUGAAGAGGCGGCCUUAACUCUUAACCUAGCCAAGUGCGAGUUCGGUAAAGUGAUGGUUACGUACUUGGGAAAACAGGUUGGCCACGGGCAGGUCCGGCCCGUGGAUGCUAAGGUCUCAGCCGUGCUGUCCUACCCGGUUCCCAUGUCAAGGCGUGAAUUACGGCGUUUCUUAGGCAUGGCUGGUUAUUACCGGUGUUUUUGUAAAAACUUCUCUGUGGUAGUUAACCCUUUAACCAGUCUGUGUAGUCCCAAGGUUCCUUUUGUAUGGAGUACUGAGUGUCAGUAUGCCUUCGAGGCAGCAAAGUCUCUGCUCUGCAGUGCACCUGUCCUGGCCGCACCUAACUUCUCUCGCCCUUUUAAGCUGGAGGUUGAUGCGAGUGCUUCAGGAGCUGGUGCUGUGCUGAUACAGGAUGGAGAGGGUGACGUGUGCCAUCUAGUAUGCUACUUCUCGGUCAAGUUCAAGCACCAUCAACUUAACUACUCCACCAUUGAAAAAGAGACCCUAGCUAUGCUACUUGCACUUCAACAUUUUGAAGUGUAUGUUGGUGCCAGUUCAUCUCCCGUGGUUAUAUACACUGACCAUAACCCUCUUGUCUUUCUUGCACAAAUGUAUAACCACAACCAGCGACUGAUGCGUUGGGCCCUGUUGGCGCAAGGUUACAACCUGGAGAUUAAGCACAAGAAGGGGACCGACAAUGUGGUGGCUGAUGCUCUGUCCCGUGGAUCUUAUAUCUCCCUCCUCAGCACAGAUCUAAUUGAGAUGGUGUCUUCAGCACAAGAAACUCCGCCAAACACUCUGUCAAAAU